rnacentral:rRNA from 1 species
UAGGGAAUCUUCGGCAAUGGGGGCAACCCUGACCGAGCAACGCCGCGUGAGUGAAGAAGGUUUUCGGAUCGUAAAGCUCUGUUGUAAGAGAAGAACGUGUGUGAGAGUGGAAAGUUCACACAGUGACGGUAACUUACCAGAAAGGGACGGCUAACUACGUGCCAGCAGCCGCGGUAAUACGUAGGUCCCGAGCGUUGUCCGGAUUUAUUGGGCGUAUAGCGAGCGCAGGCGGUUUAAUAAGUCUGAAGUUAAAGGCAGUGGCUUAACCAUUGUUCGCUGUGGAAACUGUUAAACUUGAGUGCAGAAGGGGAGAGUGGAAUUCCAUGUGUAGCGGUGAAAUGCGUAGAUAUAUGGAGGAACACCGGUGGCGAAAGCGGCUCUCUGGUCUGUAACUGACGCUGAGGCUCGAAAGCGUGGGGAGCAAACAGG